rnacentral:rRNA from 1 species
CCCAGACAGCCAGGAUGUUGGCUUAGAAGCAGCCAUCAUUUAAAGAAAGCGUAAUAGCUCACUGGUCGAGUCGGCCUGCGCGGAAGAUGUAACGGGGCUAAACCAUGCACCGAAGCUGCGGCAGCGACGCUGAUGCGUUGUUGGGUAGGGGAGCGUUCUGUAAGCCUGCGAAGGUGGCCUGUGAGGGUUGCUGGAGGUAUCAGAAGUGCGAAUGCUGACAUAAGUAACGAUAAAGCGGGUGAAAAGCCCGCUCGCCGGAAGACCAAGGGUUCCUGUCCAACGUUAAUCGGGGCAGGGUGAGUCGACCCCUAAGGCGAGGCCGAAAGGCGUAGUCGAUGGGAAACGGGUUAAUAUUCCCGUACUUGGUGUUACUGCGAAGGGGGGACGGAGAAGGCUAUGUUGGCCGGGCGACGGUUGUCCCGGUUUAAGCGUGUAGGUGUGUGUUCCAGGUAAAUCCGGUUCACUUUAACACUGAGGCGUGACGACGAGGCACUACGGUGCUGAAGCAACAAAUGCCCUGCUUCCAGGAAAAGCCUCUAAGCAUCAGGUAACAUCAAAUCGUACCCCAAACCGACACAGGUGGUCAGGUAGAGAAUACCAAGGCGCUUGAGAGAACUCGGGUGAAGGAACUAGG